CCUACGGGCGGCAGCAGUGGGGAAUAUUGCACAAUGGGGGGAACCCUGAUGCAGCAACGCCGCGUGGGUGAAGAAGUACUCCGGUAUGUAAAGCCCUGUCAGCAGGGAAGAAAAUGACGGUACCUGACCAAGAAGCCCCGGCUAACUCCGGGCCCGCAGCCGCGGUACUUCGGAGGGGGCAAUCGUUAUCCGGGUUUACUGGGUGUAAGGGGGGCGUAGACGGCAAGGCAAGUCUGGAGUGAAAGCCCGGGGCCCAACCACGGGACUGCUUUGGACACUGUGUUGCUGGAGUGCAGGAGGGGUAAGCGGAAUUCCUAGUGUAGCGGUGAAAUGCGUAGAUAUUAGGAGGAACACCGGUGGCGAAGGCGGCUUACUGGACUGUAACUGACGUUGAGGCUCGAAGGCGUGGGGAGCAAACAGGAUUAGAUACCCCAGUAGUC
rnacentral:rRNA from 1 species